GGAUGUGAGGGUGACCUGGCUGCGACAUCUGUCACCCCAUUGAUCGCCAGGGUUGAUUUGGCUGAUCUGGCUGGCUAAGAGGGUGUCCCCUUCCUCCCUCACUGCUCCAUGUGCGUCCCUCCCGAAGCCACAGGCUUGGUCAAAGAGGAUAGCCUUCCCCUUCCCCGAAUACCAAUGGACCGGUCUUUGGUGGAGGGUAUAGGAGUAGCUGCACUCCCCUGCUAGAACCUCCAAACAAGCUCUCAGCAUGAAAGGGCUGGCCCAAGAAGGGUGCUGAGGGUUUCCUCCUGAAACAGAGAAUAGACAGGACAUCCAUCAAAGCUUCUCAUGUGUUCUCAGUCUGUGGU
rfam:Erinaceus europaeus unplaced genomic scaffold scaffold00081, whole genome shotgun sequence